AGAGUUUGAUCCUGGCUCAGGAUGAACGCUAGCGGCAGGCCUAACACAUGCAAGUCGAGGAGCAGCGCGAUGUAGCAAUACAUUGGCGGCGACCGGCGCACGGGUGCGUAGCACGUAUGGAACCUGCCCUGUACUGGGAGAUAACCCGGAGAAAUCCGGACUAAUAUCCCAUAACAACCGAGGUGGCAUCACCUUGGCUUGAAAGCUCCGGCGGUACAGGAUGGCCAUGCGCCCGAUUAGCUAGUUGGUGAGGUAACGGCUCACCAAGGCUACGAUCGGUAGGGGGCCUGAGAGGGUUAUCCCCCACACUGGUACUGAGACACGGACCAGACUCCUACGGGAGGCAGCAGUGAGGAAUAUUGCGCAAUGGAGACAACUCUGACGCAGCCAUGCCGCGUGCAGGAAGAAGGCGCUACGCGUUGUAAACUGCUUUUAAUCGGGAAGAAACCCCGGGACGUGUCCCGGGUUGACGGUACCGAUGGAAUAAGCACCGGCUAACUUCGUGCCAGCAGCCGCGGUAAUACGAAGGGUGCAAGCGUUAUCCGGAUUCAUUGGGUUUAAAGGGUGCGUAGGCGGGACAGCAAGUCAGCGGUGAAAUCCCGUGGCUCAACCACGGAAUUGCCGUUGAUACUGCUGUUCUUGAGUACGUUUGACGUGGGCGGAAUGUGCCGUGUAGCGGUGAAAUGCUUAGAUAUGGCACAGAACACCGAUAGUGAAGACAGCUCACGAAGACGAAACUGACGCUGAGGCACGAAAGCGUGGGGAUCAAACAGGAUUAGAUACCCUGGUAGUCCACGA
rnacentral:rRNA from 1 species